GUCCCGUUUUUUAAACAGGUUAAAAGACAAAAGCUAAUUGAAGUUUUUAGCGGUUUAUCCGCAUAAAGAUCUGAUAGGAUACUGAUAAUGACAAUAUUCUAUACAAGUCUUGACUAAAUCACGUGCCAGCAGUCGCGGCAAUACGGGAAAGACGAGUGUUAUUCAUCUUUAAUAGGUUUAAAGGGUACCUAGACAGUAUAUUUUGCUUUUAUUGGUACAUUUAUGCUAGAGUUUUAUGUGAGAGGAGUUUAGUACUAACGGAGUAGAGAUGAAAUUUUUUGAUACUGUUGGGCACUGAUAACGGCGAAGGCAGACCUUUAUGUAAAAACUGACGUUGAGGGACGAAGGCUUGGGUAGCAAACAGGAUUAGGUACCCUAAUAGUCCAGGCAGAAAAUGAUGAGUGUCAUAGAUUAGAGUAAAUUUGGUCUAUAAAUGAAAGUGUAAGCAUUCCACCUCAAGAGUACUGUGGCAACGCUGGAACUGAAAUCAUUAGACCGUGCUUGAAACCAGUAGUGAAGUAUGUUAUUUAAUUCGAUGACCCGCGAAAAACCUUACCACGAAUUGUAUAUUAAUAGCAAAAUAAAACAGAAUCGUUUUAGUUGGAAUCUUUUAAAUAAGAAUGUUGUUUAUACAA
rnacentral:rRNA from 1 species